UGUUAAAGUAAGACUUUGCAAACAAUUCCUGGGCAAGUUUUAAAAGGCCUAAAAGCAUUUUCUGGAAGCUGUUCACAAUGCCUGAAUUA
rnacentral:pre_miRNA from 1 species